rnacentral:sRNA from 1 species
UUUUUGUUUGCGUUAGGGAUUGCAGUGAAAAGCCCACAGCAUUUCCCGAUUUUUAUCGGGCAAUGCGAGGACUUGUAGCGGAAAGCCCGACCCUUU